UUUCCUGCAUAAACAAGAAACACACCCUAAAAGCCCUUUUACAGAAAAAUAAAAUAAAACACAAUUAAACAAAAAAGGAGCCUAAGCAUCCAAGAGAUCCUCUCUAAAGAGUGAAAAUUAGGUCUGGCCGACCUCUUCUGUCAAAAGAAUGAGAAUGAAAUCGUAACAGGGCUAUUUAUAAUUGAGGAGUGUCACAGAAAACAGGCCUAGGCCCAGUGGACAAUCGCCCGGCGACACACUUAUGCCGCCCGACGGUUUGCCCCUAAUCGCGUCAUCGCCCAGUGUUAACGGAUUGGCAAGCAUACCGAAUCGUUCAAGUAAUAAUAAAAUGGUAAGUCUAAGUAUCGUUUCCCAAGAGACUCGAAAGGCCUUAUCCUUCGUGUGAAUUAAGAUCGUAAGACUUGAAAAUAAAAAUUAAUUAAUUGGGUAUGAAAACAAAAUAUAAAUAUGCAAAAGAGAUUGAUUCAAUUGACGAGAAGAAAACGAUGGAAAUGGAGUUGUUGGGGGUUUACAAUUUCAUCUUAUCCUCUCUCUCUUAUUUACUCCUCUUGAUUUAUUUGCUUGAUUAACUAAUUCUUAUGCAACUUUCUUGGCCUACCCUUAACCCGAUCCCUCGGCGAAAAGAGCCUAUUACUAAUUACUGGCUUGCUAUCCCUAGCCUCCCCUAGCAAUUAAUAAUGCAUUAUAGAGCAGAAGUGAAAAACAAUUGAUCCUCCUACCCCUAUCCCUAGGUGGUAUUGCUUAAUCAAGGAAUCACUCACCAGUUCAUGACAUUAUUGUACGUCCCCGUAUCNAUAAAGACAAACAACAGUUAUCGAAUGAGUUAAACGAUAAAAGCAUUAAGCACAGAUGAGAACCCAACAAUUAAUAAUCAAAGCAUAUGGAAAUCAUAUAAAUAAACAAGAGUUUCAAUAAAAGAGAGUAUCAAAAGAUUACAUUGUUUCCCCUAACAACAAUAGGGUUUAGUUCACCAUUGUCNCAAGAGUUUCAAUAAAAGAGAGUAUCAAAAGAUUACAUUGUUUCCCCUAACAACAAUAGGGUUUAGUUCACCAUUGUCAUGGUGAAUCUAGAUGAAAAAUGGAAAAGCAAACCCUAGAUAAGAAGAAAUGGAGCCUAAGCAUCCAAGAGAUCCUCUCCAGAGAGUGAAAUUAGGUCUGGCCGCCCCCUUCGGUUAAAAGAAUUAGAUUGAAAUCGCAACAGGGCUAUUUAAAGCUGAGGAAAGUCACAGAAAACAGGCCCAAGCCCAGCAGACAACCGCCCGGCGUCACACUUGUUCCGCCCGGCAGUUUCGCUCACGCCACGCUACCGCCCGACGGUAGGGGUCUACCGCCCGGCGGUUUGCCUCUAAUCGCAAAUCCGCCUGGUUGCACCGUUUCUCAACCAUUAUCACAACCCCAAACUGUUUCUCAACCGUUAUCACAACCCCAAACUUAGAACUUUGCUUGUCCUCAAGCAAACAAAACAAAACAGCAAACAAAACAGAGCUUGGCUUUAUACUAUUUCAUCCAAUGAUUCAACACUCCUAAAGUACAUGACAAACACUACUCAAUCUCAAAUCUUCAGUGAAACCAAAUUAUGAAUGACCAAUCCACUAAGCAAAAAUGCACUCAUUAAAAUUAAUAAUUCAUACCAAGCAAGUGUUUCACUCAAUCACUCAAGUGUUUAGGGUGACACUCCAACUCUCUAUCAUUCUCAAGUCACAAGAAAUAAAAUUGCAAUUCAUCUCAAACAAUCAACAUCUUUACAUGCAAAUGCCAUCAAAAGGACUUUUCCAAGGCUUGUAAUGAGGUUGGGCUAACAAGAAAAAUUGGUUUUUCUGGAAAACAAAAUCCUUGAGUUAAGAGAGCUAUCAUAAUAUUUAACAUUUAAGUACAACUCUCGUUCUCACCAAACUCUCUCAUUCCCAACUUUUUCCCUUUUUCUUUUCAUUGAGCUCAUCUUCAUGCUUUUUCUUAUUUUUUUCUUUUUCACAUGCAUUUUUCUUUUUCAACAAUUGAGCUCAAUGCUUCUUAAAAGCUUUCCAAUUUCCCCCAUGCAACCCCAAACUUGAACCUUUUCAUCACAUACAGUUAAGCUCAUCCCAACUCAAGGUAAAGAAUUUCAAGACAAGGGUUCAUAUGCUGUUUAAGGCUAAGUUUCAAAAAGGGUAUAAUAUUUUAAGCUCUGUGCGUGAAAAUUUGGCUAGAGAAGGGCUUUAAAAAAAAUGGCCU
rnacentral:lncRNA from 1 species